UUUUUUCUUUUUUUUUUUUGUCUGUGUGUGUGGGUGUAAGUUACAGUUUGCUCUAAAUGUAGCUCACAAGAUAUAACCCAGUGGAAAAUUGAUUUAUAUGCAAAAUUUCAGAACCAGCCAGUUAUUUUUUUGGCCACGCCCCCAGCAUGCAGAAGUUCCUCAGCCCAGGGAUCAAACCUGCACCACAGUAGUGACCAGAGCCACUGCAGCGACAAUGCCAGAUCCUUAACCUACUGCACCACAAGGGAUCUCAAACUGUUUAAAGCUUUCUAACAGAUGGGAUCCUAAGGACUAAAAGGCUCUGUGUGUGUGUGUGUGUGUGUGUGUGUGCAUCUGUGUGGCAUGUGGAUGUUCCUAGGCCAGGGAUCGAAUUUGAGUCACAGCAGAUGCUGGAUCCUUAACCAACUGUGCCAAUCGGGAACUCCACAGAUGCACAUAUUUUAGUAGAGUAUAAUCCUUUACACUCAGCCUCAUUCUUUGUGAGGAGAUAUAUAUAGAGAGAGAAAUAGAUGGAUAAAGCUUUUUUAGAAAAAAAAAAUUACUUGUGGAAUAAUUUGCCCAUUGCUAAUAUUGCUUUAAGUGCAAAUGAUUUUGGCAGCAACUUAGAGAAAAACAAUAAACGAACUUCAAAUAAUCUCCAGUUAUCUGCCUAUAAAGACACACAGCUACAUCUAUCCAACCUUCCUUUGGAUGACCAGCUCUAUUCCUUAGAAUACUGGUUAAUUUAAAAUUGCAAGUGGAAAAGUAAGGGGCGAAUGGAAUUAUUAAAUUUGCACAUAUUGUUGUUCAAAUAUGUCUUUUUUUUUUCUAGAUAACACUGUAAAACCCUUGUUUGCCAAGGUGACGCCAGCACUGAGAGGGAAAAGCAAGGGCUUAGAUGACAAUCACGUCUUUGGUUCCUGAGCCUCCCCAAAUGAUGCUACCUGGACUACAAUUUCUCAAAAUCAUCUCCUUCCUGAUGAUCUUAAAUUACCAUCAACAAUCCUUUGUGGCUGCUGGAGCUUUUUCUACUUUGGAGUCGGCCCAACUUCAAAUCCCUACUCUAAUGCAAAAAAUUCUAACCCGGGGAAAUCAUUUUUCCUCUCUGAACCUUUUUCCUCAUUUCCAAUGCUACCCUCUUCCCCCUCUCAAAGGCUGGAUUUAAUGAAAUAUUCCCAGCACAUAGCAAGCACUUAGAAAAUGGUUGAAAGCAUGAAUUAUGUAGUCAUAAUUGUGGUCUGAAUCCUGAGUAGAUGUACGUGAUAUUGACAUGCCACUUACCCCCUAAAUUUCAGUUCCCUCAUCUGUAAACUGUGGACAAUGAUGGUAACUCUUUCACAGGGUGGGUGUGAGGGUUACAAUGAAACAUGCCAGGAAGCAUUUGGAAUCAUGUCUGGGAUUCAGCAAGCCUCAUAUAAAUAUUAGCUGUUGUUGUUGUUGUUGCUGUUGUUGUUAUUCACAAGCCUGUUAGAGAGCUGCAGGGAUUAUUGGCACUUCUGCCAUUGCUUCCACACUCUUUCAGCAGUCAUAGGGCUGCCUGAGCAGGGGGAAUGGUUCCUUCUCACCCAUAUUUAAUGGCUUAAGAAUGCACAUGCUAACUGGUUCUUUCAGUGGCCACUGACCUCUUCCAUGAGUGGAUGGAAAAUGCCCCCUGGGCCUCUGCUGCUCACAGUUGGUCCUAGGACCAGAGGCAUCAGCAUCAACUGGGAGCUAGUUUGACAUGCAUCCCUGGGUUCUACCCCACACCUGGUAAGUCAGAAUCUGCAAUUUAACUAAGUUCCCAGGGGACUCAUGCAAAAUAACAGGGGAGGAGACUGCGAGUUCACCUUUUUAGGGUCCUUCAAGAGAUACAACCUCGUGCUGAGUUUCAAGAUACCUUCCCUAACUCUACUUGUUAAUCUACUCAUCCCAGCUUCUUUAGAUGUCAGAGUGGAGUUCCAUGCUAUCUGGCCUCUUGGCACCCACCUACCACCUACUUCUCUUUCCAGAUUGUUUCAGCUUCCAUUCAUCCUGAUUUUAGUAUCCUGCCUACUGUACACCUACAAGGGAAUGAGAUUUCCAACACACAAAUCGAAUUUAUGCUCCCACUCAUUCUUUGAGCAUUUCAGUGUUCUAAGUCAACUGUGGGAACAAUUUCGUUGCUUCACUUAAACAAACACACACAAAGUCCUGACAGAAAUAAACAAUGACAGAAAAAUCUCGUAUUUUAUCCCAAAAAAUAUCUUCAAUGUACUUUCAGAUAUUACAAUCUACCCAGUCACACUUUAUUAAUACCUGCACCAUUAAUAGAGGAAUACUUUGUGUUGUAAGCUCCCCAAAACAAUCUUCUACAACCCAAAUCACUUAAAUAUCUAUCAAGUCUAAAUGCAUUUCUACUAUUGUAAUGUGUUUUUUGACUACAUAUCUCAUAUUGAUUUUCACUGCAUGUGUAUGUAAUAGUGUUGUUUAAUUGGAAGGUUAGAUAGGAUAGUGUAAUAUCUCAGCCACGCUUAUUUGAGGAAGCUACAUAACAAAGAUUUAUUUUUGCAAAAAUCAUCAGAGAGCACAAUAAAGGGCAUUUUCCCCUACACUUUCCAACCCUGUCAAGUAUACUCAUUGGGAAAAAAAGUAACUCAUUAGAAGAGAUAACUUAUACUUCUCUUAAUGAAGUUGAAUAGAUAAAGACAAAGCCCAUUAUGUUUCACUGGCAGCUGAAUCUUAUUCUGAAAAGUUACCCAAAGCUCAGUGAAAAUUUCAAGGACAUCCUGCUGCAAAGGCAUGGAAAUCUCAAGCUUACGGAAUUGUUAAGAUUAUCCAGUGCAUUUCUCUAACUAAUCUGCAUUAUAACCACACUGACUUCCCAUGGAGAAUUGGAAGAGACAAACAUAAUGAAAAAGGUUUUACAUGUGCUACACCCUGAUGCAAAAUGACAUAUACUGAAAUGCCAAUAUCAAAGCAAGAACGUGAGGUACUUCCCACUGUGGCUCGGUGGGUUACAAACCCAACUAGUGUCCAUGAGGAUGCAGGUUCGAUCCCUGUCCUCACUCAGUGGGUUAAGGAUCCAGAACUGCCAUGAGCUGUGGUGUAGGUUGCAGACACAGCUUGGAUCCCGCUUUGCUGUGACUGCGGCAGAGGCCGGCAGCUGCAGGUGCAAGUCGAUCCCUAGCCUAUAAAUGUCCAUAUGCUGCAGGUGUGGCACUAAAAAACAAACAAACAAGAAAUUGAAAGAUAAAGUGUUGAAAUAAAUUUGUAGAGCAAAAGAGAUACCUUCUUCUCAGGAUAACAGAGGUGAAUAAGUAGGAUGGGGAUAAGUGAGGAAGGAGGAAGGAGGACACAGCCACUCCCCUAACCCCCUAGCAUCACUUAAGUUGGGCAGUGAGGGAUUGAUGGAAUGGGAGGCGGUGGGAGUGGACAAGGGAUGCUUCCCUUUUCUGAGUUUUUCACACCUUCAAGGAGUAAAUAUGCACACUUGCAAGCUUGACGUGACCUCUGAUUUCUUUCUUAACCUAGACUUCACAGACAAUGUGUGGAAAAUCUACUUUACAAAAUGUUCAGAGUCAAAAGGUAAGAAUCAAAGAAAAAUGUCAGGGUUCUGAGGGUCAGGUGCAAUAAAUUUUAAGAAAUCUUACUCAGAACGUUCCUUGAGAUGUUAUAAUCUAUCCACAGCAUUCAUGCCAAGCAGAGACUAAUCCUGGGUCUAGCACCUAAAACUAGCAACUGGCUCUAUUCCUCACAGAGUAGGUCAAACGAGGAAGUAUGUCAUUUUGUCUCAGCCUCUUUUUCUUUUAUUUUUACAGCCACACCUAUGGCACAUCGAAGUUCCUAGGCCAGAGGUCAAAUCAGAGCUGCAAUUGCCAGCCUACAACAUGGCUGCUACAGCAACACUGGAUCCAAGCCACAUCUGUGACCUAUGCCACACCUUGUAGCCAUGCUGGAUCCUUAACCCACUGAGCAGGGCCAGGGAUCGAACAUACAUCCUCACAGACACUAUGUUGGGUUCUUAACCCACUGAGCCAGAAUAAGAACUCCGCACUCCCUUUUUCUUCACUUGAAUAAAUCAUUUUUUUUUCUGACUAAAUUAUAACAAUCUCAACAUAUUUUACCAAUAUCUGUAUUCACUAUCUCUGUAUUUAGUACUCUGGCUACUCUCUCCCAACUCCCUAUAUCAUUCAAAAUAUUUUGAUAAGUAACAAUUCUUUAUGUGUUUUACCACUACAUUUACUGCACAUGAAAAAAAAUACAUAUUUUUUUGAACAUGCUUUCCCUCUUUUACUUAGUCAAUCAGUUACAUUGUUGAUUCAGUUUCUGGGUGAUUCUAAACCCAAUAUCUCAUCCAAAACAAGCCAAUGUUUUUUACCGACACUUCUGCCAAUUCAACUUAAUUCAAGAAAUUUAUCUUGAGAUAGCCUAUGUGCCAUGCCUUUGGUCAAUAAAGCUGUGAAAGAUAUGUACCCACCUUGAAGAUGACUAGCCUAGAAGGUCUCUAGCCUUUUCUCUCGACAAUUGAAAAAAAAAUCACAAAAGAAAAAUGAGGAUCACAAAAUUUGAACAAAACUUUUGACAAUUUCUGAGGCCAAGAAAAUGACAAGCCUAAAGGAAAUUCAUCAAUGUAUACAAUAAAAUUAAUAGAUAAAACUUUCCUCUCUUUCUGGUCUGGUUAGAUUUUAAACACUGAAAAAUUGCAAUCAAGUGUUUUAUUAUCUUCGUAUACCCCACAGAAUUUGGUACGGGGUGGUGACAUAGUAAGUACUUGACAAAAAUUCUAAAUUGAGCAGAAUGAAACUAUAGUUUCGAGUAGAGGGUAAAAGGAAUAUCUGAAGGAGUUUUCUGCCAGCAAAUAACAGCAUUCUCUAAACUUUCACGGCAAGCAGAAGAAAGGAUGGCCAAAUAGGCAGGCAUGUGGCCAGUAGAAAAACUUGAGGAUUUUCAGAUAUUGAAAAUGUCUGAGUAAGUAAAACUGGCUGGGGGUCAUUUAAGCUUAUCAUAAAAUCUAUUCAUAUGGCCGUAUAUCUCCUUUAUAUUACUGGCUUUUCUAUCUUAACUUUUUUUUUUUUUUAAUUAAGCAGGUUUACUUAUUUCAGGCUACCAGUGGAAGUCAGUGUAGCCAGGAUACGCAGCAAAGAGAUCAACAACAUUAUUCAGGACAGAUGGGAACAUAAAUUUCUAAAACCUAAAAUCCUCACCAGUGGUACACAGCUCUGGAUAUCUACCUUAACUUUGUAUUUUCUCAGGGAGAAAAAAAAAAAAAAAAGGUGAAAGUAGUAAAUGGAGACAAAAAAAGCUAUUAGGAGUCAAUUAGGAAAAAUAUGGUCUAGUUCCUGGAAGCUAAGAGAAAUCAAAUAGAUCUUCUUUCCAUCUAGAGAAAAUUGUCUUCUCUUCCACACAGCCUUGAUUUAAACUUGACUAGAUUCUUCAUGGGAUGAAUAUUCUGGACCCAAACACACCAUUACCAAGAUCUGUAGUAUGUAAGGGCAGCAACAACUUAGGAUGAGGUUCUAAUGCAUAUCACCUGAACACUGGAGAAAAAAAAAAAACCUUUCACUGUAGUACAAAUUGACACCACAGUGAUGAAAGGAAAAGCUAUCCAUAUCCCUCUGGACUGUUGCCUAGAUCAGAGUUCAGCCGAAUCUGACCCAUCACCUCUUUUUUGUAAAUUAAGUGCUAUCAGAAUACAGAGGUAUAGUCUAUGGCUGCUUUCAUACUACAACAGCAGAGCUGAGUAGCUCCAACAGAAGAUAUGGACCUCAAAGCUGGAAAUAUUCACUAUCUGGCCCUUUACAGAAAUAGUUUGCUAAUCCUGCAGUAGUAUAUUGCUAUUAUAUCUGUUCUUUGCCAGCAACCUUCAAAAAGGCAGUUCCAACUUUCAUUAAAGAAGAUAUACAAGUGGCCAAUAGGAAAAGAUGUUUAUCAUUAUUCAGUGGAGAAAUGAAAACUAAAACCACAUCAAUAUACUACUUCAUACCCAUUAGAAUGGUUCAAAGUAAGAAGACUAACCAUACCAAGUGUUGGCAAGGAAAUGGGAGAACUGGGACUCUCAUACACUACUGCUGCGUAUAUAAAAUGGUACAACUACUUUGGAAAAUAGUUUGGUGUUUUCUUAUAAACUUAAAUAUACCUUUCUCCGUGACUCCAGAAAUUCCACUUAUAGGUAUUUACCCAAGAGAAAUGAAAACAUAUAUCCACAAAAAGACUUGGACUUGAAUCUCCCACCUUGAUAUUCUUCAUAUUUCAGAACUGUACAAUAUUAUACAUCUUCCAUACAUUACUUUUUUUCAUUUCUAUUAGCUAUCAGAUUUGCAACAGUUCCAUAGCCCCUUGGAGGUUAUCGAAUCCAACUUUUCAAUCUUUUUUUCUUUUUACGGUUCUACCUGAGGCAUAUGGAAGUUCCCAGACUAGCGGUCGAAUGGGAGCUGCAGCUGUCAGCCUAUGCCACAGCCACACAAUUCCAGAUCCAAGCCACAUCUGUGACCUACACUGCAGCUUCCAGCAGUACCAGAUCCUUGACUCACUGAGCGAGACCAGGGAUCAAACCCACAUCCUUACAGACACUAUGUCAGGUUCUUAACCCACUGAGCCACAGUGGAAACUCCAAAGUCUCAAUCUUAAAUGCUCUCCUAAUUAGGAACAGGCCAUGUUCAUCAUUUGGUUAAUCUGCAGUCUGCCUACCAUUGGCUUCUAGCCACUGGUUUCAAUUCUGCCUUUUGGAGCCAUAAUCAAAAAGCUAAAAUACACUUCUACCCAAAAGCCAUUCCAAUAUGCGACACACAUAUACAUAAACUCGAUCUUGUCUCCCUCAAACCUUACUAUCUCCAAGCUGAACACCUUCAAUCAUUUCCUUUUAAAAAAGCUCUAACUCUUCAAUGCUGAAUUUGAGUUCUUGAUAUGCUCAGUGUGUGAAGGUUUGGGUUCACAGUGUUCAAAUAUGCAACCAAGUAGGAUUAUACUGUUAUUGCAGAAGGCAAAACUAUAGCUAGUUGGUAUGAAUUUAUAGGUAAAACUUUUUUUGUUUAGUAGAAGAGAAAAUUUCCUAACAAUUAAAACUGCUCCCAAGUGCAAUGCUUGAGCAGAGACCAUAUCAUCAGUCAAACAUAGGGGACAGAACUUUGUAUUUCAUAGAAGCUGAACUAUGAAAUCUUAAAAAUAUGCUCACCAGCACUCUGAUCUGUCAAAGGUCCUCAUACUGAUGAGACAAGGAACUGGUUAGCUUGUAAAAAAGACAAAAAUUAGAUGGAUACAGAAUGCAACUGACUGGGUCUCUCUGGGGCCUGCUUUGGGCCCUUGAAUAAGAUUAAAUAAAUAUGGAACUGAGUAGGAUGAACAAACUUACCACACUAAAGAAAGAACAUAAUUUCAUACAUGUCUUCCCUAAAGCCAGAUUUGUAUAGUCCCAUCGGACACCAGACAACAUGCUUUGUGCUACCCUGAGAGUUAAACAAUGCCCCAUGUACCACAUGAAAUAAAGAGAAGAAUGAUGUCCAAGAGUGGUUGGGCCAAAAUAUCACUCUCAACAAGCAGACUCACAAUAAAUGGUGUGUCCUGGAAAAUGAACAAAAGGGCAGCUAUUUAGAGUAGCUCUCAGUCCUCCACCAAGUUGCUCCCGAAAGGAACUAAAAGAACACCAGGGGUGCAUUUUCAGAGUUUAAGUUAUUACCCACAGAUUAGGGACUCAGAAUUUCAAUCUACUUUGUGAUUUCCUCCCUCCUUCAUAUCAAUGAGUUUAGCCUAGGAUCUCUACAGGUUGUGGGCUUUUCAAAAAGUGCUUUUGCUUACAAUUGAUAGGAUUUUUCUCUUUUUUUCUAAGGAAAAAAAAUGCAUUAAAGAUUUUGUUCUUUAUAAUUUCCCAAACAACAUGAGCUCAGCAAACAGAUUUAGUUUUAAAAGUAACUUAUCAACAUUGACAGCGUCCUCUUAAGAACAGCUGUUGCCUCAUAGACUGCAGUGUGAACAUACCCCUGAAUUUAGAAACAAUUCUGCUUAGAAGGAAUAUUGCACAUUUAGCACCCUCCCCUUAAUUACCAAAGACAUUUGCAUGAAAGCCCCAUCUUUGUUUGGCAUCUUCACCUUAUUAUUUUUCUAGGAUUUAAAAUUUAAGUCCUGAAAGGUGUCAUUCUGUAAUGAUGAGUUUCGCCUGCAAAAGAAGAGCGAUGUCCUCAUUGCAUGCCUCAGUCUAAGGGCCAUUUUUGACUUUUAGAAUUGCUCUUUCCUUUCUUUUAUGGAGUUGGCUGACUGUCAAGGCUGGUUCUUUUGCAAUCCUAAUUUUGAGAUGCAAGGUCAUAGGAGUCUUGGCUCUGACAGUACAAAAUGAAUUUAUAAAGAAAGAUACUAUUCUUCAUUCCUUUAAUGUUCAAGAUGUUGAAGAGAAUUUACAUAAUAUGUGUUUUGCAAUUUUUGCAAAAUGCCAUGCCACACUUUUACAACUGACAUUAGUCUUAGGAUACUGGGUACAUAAGCUUAUGAAUCAUAAUGUGUGACUAGAAAUAGGUUGGUGAGAGAGUUAGCGGAAAGGAAAAUAAAAGAAAAUAUUGAUGCAAUAAACACUAAAAUUCUCUCACUGUUCUUUCACAGUAAUCGUUUAUAAUAUAGAAUGGUUUCUGUGAACUAUUUGCCUCCUCUGUACAUCUCAAAAGAAAUUCCUACUGAUCUUCUAGAGUUCACUGUUCAAUUGCACUAAGUUAAUAUUCACAAAUGAUUGGUUCAAAGCCUCACAAAUGUUAUCAUUCGCUCUAUUCACGUACUGUAUGUGCACACAAGAAGAGAACUAUGCAAUACCUUUUUUAACCUUUCAUUUUAUGAAAUACUUAGGAAAUGAAUAUUAUUCUAAGGGAAAAAUAAAUAAUUAAGAACAUAAUUAAGACAAGUAUGAAGGGUUCUUAAGUUGGCAGAGCAUUAAAUAUAUUUAUCCCCUGCUAAUAAGCACAUGAUUGCUUUUUUAGGAAUAGCCUUAAGUAUAGAAGUAAAAUGGAAGUCAGGGAGGGGGAAGAUGAAAGUUACAGAAAAGAGAGUCUCGGGGUGCCUCACACUAAUUACUAUUUCAUCUGCUUAGAGGC
rnacentral:lncRNA from 1 species